rnacentral:tRNA from 1 species
AGCCCCGUGGUGUAGCGGUCAAGCAUUGUGGGUUUUGGCCUCACAGACCCAGGUUCGAGUCCUGGCGGGGCUACCA